rnacentral:rRNA from 1 species
GACGAACGCUGGCGGCGUGCUUAACACAUGCAAGUCGAACGGAAAGGCCCUGCUUUUGUGGUGUUCUCGAGUGGCGAACGGGUGAGUAACACGUGAGUAACCUGCCCUUUACUUUGGGAUAACUUCAGGAAACUGGGGCUAAUACCGGAUAGGAGCUCCUGCUGCAUGGUGGGGGUUGGAUAGUUUCGGCGGUUGGGGAUGGACUCGCGGCUUAUCAGCUUGUUGGUGGGGUAGUGGCUUACCAAGGCUUUGACGGGUAGCCGGCCUGAGAGGGUGACCGGCCACAUUGGGACUGAGAUACGGCCCAGACUCCUACGGGAGGCAGCAGUGGGGAAUAUUGCACAAUGGGCGGAAGCCUGAUGCAGAAACGCCGCGUGCGGGAUGACGGCCUUCGGGUUGUAAACCGCUUUAGCCUGUGACGAAGCGUGAGUGACGGUAAUGGGUAAAGAAGCACCGGCUAACUACGUG